UUUGAAAUGAGUUUCACUGGGCUAAAACCAAGGUGUUGGCAAGGCUGUAUUCCUUCUGGAGCCUCUAGAGAGGAAUUCAUUUCCUUCCUUUUCCCAGCUCCUAUGGCCUCCUGCAUUUCUGGGCUCAUGGUCUUGUCCAUCUUCAAACCUAGCAAUGGCUGGUUGAGGCAUUCACAAUGCCAUCUCUCAAGUUCUGGCUCUUCUGCCUCCUCCUUCCAUAUUUAAGAAAACUCAUGAUUACUUUGGACACACCUGGAUAACCAAGGAUAAUUAAGGUCUCUUCCUCACCUUGGUUUGGCAACCCUUUCAUUGGAGAUGCCCCCAAAUAUGUGUCAUUGGAUGUCACUCAUUCAUUCAUCAUCCAACAAUUAAGUGCCCAUUUUUGCAAGAACCUGCUUUGGACCUCUUCCUCACCUUGUUUUGGCAAGCCUUUUGCAUUAUUUGUUUAUCUACCACAGCUCCUCACCAGCUCUGGGCUCUGCUGUGGCAUCAUUGGGACAUUAGGGAAGAGACAGUGUGGGGACAGUUUGCAACAAGUCUCACCUUGUCAGAGUGAAGCUGUCACCUUUGGCAGGUGGACUUGGGCUCAGCUCAC